CUGAACUGGACGCUGCAAGAGUGUAGAUCAGUGUUCUUUAUCCAAUUUUUUCCUCUCUGAUUUGAGCCUUCAGAAAUGGCCUAGGAGUAUGUGGCAGAGGCCAGGAAGCUGUUUGGAGAGAAAUCUCACACCACAGGGCUAUGGUCUUGUCUUGGACUAGAGGUGGGUUGUAGAAAAGUGAUGGGAACAAAGGAGGAGGGCGGACUCAGGCAGGAGGAAAGAGAGAGAGAGAGAGAGAGAGAGAGAGAGAGAGAGAAGAGAGAGAGAGAGAGAGACAGGAAGUCCUGACUCCUCUUUCUGUCUGGGCCACAGUCCUGGGGUCUCUGGGAAUGGGGCGGUCUUCCAUCUGAGCUGUCUGAUCCCCAUAAGAUCAGAACUCUACCCUACACCAAGAGGAACGCACGACGAAAACGAACCCAUGAAUAUCAAGAUUUCAAACAGCUGCAUUUCACGGUGGCCCAAGGAGGGGGAUGGGGGGCCUCUGUCAGCCCCAGUAAUUCAGUACACGUCACAACAAAAAUGCAAUUUUAACAGCUAAAACAGGAUCAGAAUACUCUGAGCCACGAUGUUCCCGGUACAGUGACCUACACACGAACGAAGUCCAGAGCCCAGACGGGACGCCCGCCUGCGACCAUGGCCACAGCGCAGCGACGGGGCAGGUGCUCCUCCAUCCUGGCUACCUGUGCGCCCCAGAGUCCCCUAAAACCUGGGAGCACAAAGCCAGUCAACUUCAGGAUCAGAUCAGUGCGGUUGGGGGCAAGGGGGACACGGGUGUUCCCAGAGGGACUGGGCAAGUUUCUACGUCUCCUACUUCCUUGGCCCAGUAAGGGCGGGUCACCUUACACCGCUGGGGCGCAGGGAGCAGUCCGACGCCCGCACGCCUGAGGCCAGGCGCGGGAGGUGGAGGUGGAGGACGAACUAUGCCCGGUAGCAGCCUUUGUGAGCCCAUUUCUCCCACCUCUGUUGGGUCCUGAAGACUUGGGCACCCAAAGCUCGCUUUCGAGGCUGGGACUCAACAAGGGCGUCCAGGUCCACCAGGCCCCAGGACCCCACCCAGGCCCGAAAGUGCCGGCGGCGCGGGACAGCAUCCGUCCCCAGCCAGCCCCGGGUGGCCCUGGGGCUGGAAGGACGCGGCGAGGCGUGGCCCCACGACCCCAGACUGCCAGGCCAGGAAAGGGGCGACAGGGUUUAGCCCCCAGUUUGCCCCCUACAGCAGCGCGGCACGCUGGCACAGGGUCACCCUUCCCACACAGAUUAUCCACGUUCAGGACUCGGCGGCCACCCAAGCCCCUGAAGACCCAGUCUCCGAGAGUCCCUCCCCCUGUCCCCUGGUGGUGGGGGCCUCAAGACUCCAGAGCAGGGCCUCCCGGGGUGCCCCGCUGGGGUCGGAUCCACAGCUCCUCCACAGAAUUCCGUGGAAAUCUGCAGAAGUCUCUGGCCCAGGGCACAGAUACCCGUGCGGUACCAGGAAGCCUCGGGAAACAAACGGAGGAGGAAUUUAGACUCCUGCUCUGAAACUCUGAGUGAGGGAGGAGGCUACUGAAAAUCUCACUUGGACUUGGAGAGUGGGGACCCCCCCAGCCCUGGGGCCGCUCCAGAAAAGUCCUGACAUUGUUCUGCUCUCUCUGGGGCGCUGCCACCCGCCGGAAACCCAAACUUCUUCCCGUCCCCUUUCUGUCCCAUUUCCCGGCUCACUGGGCUCUGGGGCGGACUGGGCAGGGACGCAGGAAGGGUGACAUUCCACCCAGCCUGCUCCAGGACCCCAGCGGGAAGCGCGGGAUGGGGCUGGGACUCCCGGAGCCGAGGGCAAAGGCUCGGACGGAGAAACAGAGGCACGCGCACCCCCCACCCAGGCGAGGUUCCCGAAGUGGGAGGGACAUAACCACCAGGGCCUCAGUCUACCCAUCUGCUGCAGAUGAAUCUAGAGGAGAUUUAGUCUUUUAAAGGUGAUUUCUCCUCAUGUAUUUGUCACCCCCAACUACUGUAAAUCUUUUUCUCAGGCUUCAUUCUAAAGAAACACAGAAACUAUGCUUAAGUCGGAAUUUGUCUUCCCAUAUAUUUCUGUUAAUGGGGAAAAUUGUUUUUGUUUGACCUAAUCUUCUGUUGAUUUUUAAAAUCACAUCCGGGAAAUAUUUAGCUCACGGACUAAGUAAUACAGUUGCCACUUGCUUAAUACUUUUAAAACGCUGGGCACUGAGCUAAAGACGCCCCGCCCCAAGUCUCAAAACAAUCCUGCAAGAGUCUUCUUCGCUCUCUUCCUCCCUCCCCGCUUUCUUUCCAAACUAAACACUGAGGCACAGGGUGAAUGAGUUUCUCACAGGUGCAGCGGCAGUGAAAGGCAGAGAGCGUGGGUCUACCCGCUGGACCCUUACGUGGAGUCGGCUGGUGAGAUUUUCCCCGGUCCAUGGCUCCCUCGGGUUCCCUCUAAGUGAGAAAGCUACAAUGAAGAGGCACAAACAGGACCCCUGCGUGGCUGAGAGGUUGACGGCCAGAGCAGAAAGCAGGACACAGACCCUUGCCCCUCCGUGAUCUCUGGAGUGGGGGUAGGGAUUCCGGGGUCCCCUCCUACUCCGGGAGAAAUACAGACCAACGCUUGGCCUCUCUGCUUGCCAGUUUAUUCUUAAAACCCGAGGUUAGAAUUGUGGGAGGCCUCACGGCAUGAUCUGAACAGGGUACUAAAGUACCAGGACUGCGGGACUGAGAGUUUGUCUCUCAGAAGUUGCUGGCUAUAGAUCCAUCGUGCCAGUGCAUAAAGAAAAUACCGUGAUGGUUUCACGUGAUUUAGUUUUUUCAGUUUUGCUAGUUCUGAUGGGAAAUAGUUGUACUUAAA
ensembl:lincRNA